rnacentral:rRNA from 1 species
ACGGCGUAGAAAACUGCCCAGGUAGUGGGGGAUAGCCCAGAGAAAUUUGGAUUAAUACCGCAUACGCCCUACGGGGGAAAGGGGGCGUUCGGCUCUCGCUAUUGGAUGUGUCUCGCGGUGGGAUUAGCUAGUUGGUGAGGUAAGGGCUCACCAAGGCGACGAUCCCUAGCUGGUCUGAGGAGGAUGAUCAGCCACACUGGGAACUGAGACACGGUCCAGACUCCUACGGGAGGCAGCAAGGUGGGGAAUAUUGCACGAAAAGGGGCGAAAGCCUGAUGCAGCCAUGCCGCGUGUGUGAAG